GACGAACGCUGGCGGCGUGCCUAACACAUGCAAGUCGAGCGAUGAAGCUUCUUCGGACGUGGCUUAGCGGCGGACGGGGGAGGAACACGUGGGCAACCUGCCGUGUAGAGGGGGAUAGCCUCCCGAAAGGAAGAUUAAUACCGCAUAACGUAACGAAUUCGCAUGGAUUUGUUAUCAAAGAUUUAUCGCUACAAGAUGGGCCCGCGUCGCAUUAGCUAGUUGGUGAGGUAACGGGUCACCAAGGCCACGAUGCGUAGCCGACCUGAGAGGGUGGUCCGACACAUUGGAACUAAGACACGGUCCAGACUCCUACGGGAGGCAGCAGUGGGGAAUAUUGCACAAUGGGCGAAAGCCUGAUGCAGCAACGCCGCGUGAGUGAUGAAGGUCUUCGGAUUGUAAAGCUCUUUGAUUAGGGACGAUAAUGACGGUACCAAAAGAACAAGCCACGGCUAACUACGUGCCAGCAGCCGCCGUAAGAC
rnacentral:rRNA from 1 species